GGGUGAGCGGCGGACGGGUGAGUAACGCGUGGGAAUAUGCCCUUCUCUAAGGAAUAGCCUCUGGAAACGGAGAGUAAUACCUUAUACGCCCUUUGGGGGAAAGAUUUAUCGGAGAAGGAUUAGCCCGCGUUAGAUUAGGUAGUUGGUGGGGUAAUGGCCUACCAAGCCUACGAUCUAUAGCUGGUUUGAGAGGAUGAUCAGCCACACUGGGACUGAGACACGGCCCAGACUCCUACGGGAGGCAGCAGUAGGGAAUCUUAGACAAUGGGGGCAACCCUGAUCUAGCCAUGCCGCGUGUGUGAUGAAGGCCCUAGGGUCGUAAAGCACUUUCGCCAGAGAUGAUAAUGACAGUAUCUGGUAAAGAAACCCCGGCUAACUCCGUGCCAGCAGCCGCGGUAAUACGGAGGGGGUUAGCGUUGUUCGGAAUUACUGGGCGUAAAGCGCACGUAGGCGGAUUAGUAAGUUAGAGGUGAAAUCCCAGGGCUCAACCCUGGAACUGCCUUUAAUACUGCUAGUCUUGAGUUCGAGAGAGGUAAGUGGAAUUCCGAGUGUAGAGGUGAAAUUCGUAGAUAUUCGGAGGAACACCAGUGGCGAAGGCGGCUUACUGGCUCGAUACUGACGCUGAGGUGCGAAAGUGUGGGGAGCAAACAGGAUUAGAUACCCUGGUAGUCCACACCGUAAACGAUGAAUGCCAGACGUCAGCAAGUAUACUUGUUGGUGUCACACCUAACGGA
rnacentral:rRNA from 1 species